rnacentral:precursor_RNA from 1 species
GGGGUAUGUAGUGAUGUUGUUGACAGAAGAUAGAGAGCACAGAUGAUGAGAUGCAUGGUGCCAUGCGCCUUACUUCUUUGUGCUCUCUAUGCUUCUGUCAUCAUCACCAUCGGCCCU